rnacentral:tRNA from 1 species
GGCGAGGUGGCGGAGCGGACGAACGCACCACACUUGAAAUGUGGCAAGGUCGCAAGGCCUUCGUGAGUUCGAAUCUCACCCUCGCCG